UUUUUUUUUUUGGGAUAAAGUUUACCAAGUUUCGUAGGUUGUAUUAUCGAGCCACGUCCAUUUGUUUACCAUUGCUAACUGAAUUCCAGGUGAACCUGCGGAAGGAUCAUUAAAGGUUUAGGGUACUCAGUGCCCAAACUUCAACCCAAUGUUUUGUUAAACUGUUUCUUUGCCGGUCUCGGCCGGCAGAAGACCUCUCAAACUCCUUUAAUCUGUUCUGAAUACGAUAAAAAAAAUCGUUAAAACUUUCAACAACGGAUCUCUUGGUUCUGGCAUCGAUGAAGAACCGCAGCGAAAUGCGAUAAGUAAUGUGAAUUGCAGAAUUCAGUGAAUCAUCGAAUUUUUGAACGCAUAUUGCGCCCUUUGGUAUUCCGAAGGGCAUGCCUGUUCGAGCGUCAUGACAACCCUCAAGCCUAGCUUGCUGUUGGGCCCCGCCGGAGACGGCAGGCCUUAAAGUCAGUGACGGUUACCCCUAACCUCAGGCGCACAGAUGCUGCUAUGACGGGAAGGGGCGAUCAGUAUCUCCAAUCGUUUGACCUCGGAUCAGGUAGGAAUACCCGCUGAACUUAAGCAUAUCAAUAAGCGGAGGAAAAGAAACCAACAGGGAUUGCCUCAGUAACGGCGAGUGAAGCGGCAAAAGCUCAAAUUUGAAAUCUGGCCUUUGGUCCGAGUUGUAAUUUGUAGAGGAUGUUUCGGGCAAGAUCCGGGCUUAAGUUCCUUGGAACAGGACGUCAUAGAGGGUGAGAAUCCCGUACGUGGUCCAGGGUCGCGCCCAUGUGAAACUCCUUCGACGAGUCGAGUUGUUUGGGAAUGCAGCUCAAAAUGGGUGGUAAAUUUCAUCUAAAGCUAAAUAUUGGGCCAGAGACCGAUAGCGCCACAAGUAGAGUGAUUCGAAAAGAUGAAAAGCACUUUGAAAAAGAGAGUUAAACAGCAUGUGAAAUUGUUGAAAGGGAAGCGCUUGCAACCAGACUUGUUUGGUAGGGUUCAGCCGUCGUUCUCGUCGGUGUAUUUCUCUAUCUACAGGCCAGCAUCAGUUUGGACGGAAGGUCAAAGGCCUUGGGAAGGUAGCAUCCUUCGGGAUGUCUUAUAGCCCUCGGUGUAAUGCUUCCUGCCCGGACUGAGGAACGCGCUCGGUCGAUGCGCGAUAGGGGGAAAGGUUUAAACUGUUAAAAACCCAACAAAAA
rnacentral:rRNA from 1 species